GACCUGUCCCCGGAUAAGAAGAGAAGCAGUGAACUACAGAGGAGAAGGAAGGAGUGCAUCUCAGGCACAAGUUGAUGAUGCUGGUCAAAGCUCCCUCUAUCAAACAUCUGAUCUCCAGUCUACAAUUGACGCUGAACCGCCAUCAAUUCC